UACCCCUUUGAUGCUUCUGAGCCUGCAAA
rnacentral:piRNA from 1 species